AAACCGUAGCAACAUACUGGGCUUGUGCAAGAUCUGAACCAUUUCUUGUAAAUGAUUUUCAAGACAUGCACAGUCUUUGUGUAUGCGUGUACUGUUGGAGGUAUGGAAUGCUGAUAUAGCAGAGGAUCAUAUCAUUUAGAGGUUCAGGAAGUCAAAGCAGAACACAGAAUGAAAAAGCAAAACUACAUGUCAAGUCCAGAAUGGGAACUACUGGAUGCAAGAGAAGAUCUUUGGCCAAGAAUGUCUUCUGCUGUUGAUACCACUGCUUUCCUAU